rnacentral:lncRNA from 1 species
CAGAUCACCAAGAAGCUGGCUGGCGGGAUCGGGGACAGUGCGGCACCCACACUGAUUGGACACUGAUGUCCAAUAUCGGAAACGAGUUAGGCCAGGUCCUGAACUCUGUUCUGACGUCGGGUGAAGGUGCAGGGUUGGAAGAGUUGUGCCAAGGCGUCGUCACUCGGUACAAGAAUGCAGGCCAAGCUGAACCUGAGGCCAUCUAUGUCGACCGAGACUGCUGCAGCCAGUCAGGCGUGUCUUCAGUGGCUAAGCUGUUUCACCCAUGGCAAACUACAGUGCGCUUGGACAGCUUCCACUUCAUGAGGCGCUUUAACUGCGGCCUCACAACAGAACACCACCCUCUGUAUGGUAUUUUCUGUGCCAAGCUUUCCUCCUGCAUUUUUGCAUGGGACCAGGAGGAUGUGCAACGCCUGAAGGAGGCCAAGAGAGAAGAGUGGAAGAGCAGCCAAAGCGGGCAUACUCCCACUGAGGAGCAGCUCAUGGCCACCAUCAGUCCAGGCGAACUGAAGAGGCACUGCAGGAGGAGGACCCGUGGAGUGGAGGAGACGCGGGGCAUGAUCUCAGGGCUGCUGGAAUCAGUGUGGGAGCUGACGGACACCACAGGGCUGCGUCUGGUGAGCCAUGACAGCAUGCGCCAUGUCUGGGAAGUGCAGCAGAAGCACCUGGAGUGCCUCCAAGACCCUGCAGGUGUGGCACUGUACACGAAGGUGGGGACACUCCAGAAGGGCGGCAAAGAGCUGGACGUCCUAAGGUGUGGUAGGGGGUCCUCCUCCCUGGAGAGUUUUCACAAACACCAGUGCGCUUUUAUUCCAGGUACAUUUCUUUUUUUAAUGUUCUUUUCUGUUAGGACAGAGAAUGUGUUGUAAUUAUUCAAAAUAACAAAAUGACCACUGUCGGGUAUUCAUGUGUAUUCACUUUACAAUAAUGGUUGACUAAACAUAGUAUUUAUUGUUCCUUAGGCUGGCGGUGCAAUGCUGUUCACACACAGAUGUACAUGCUGGAGGGAGUAUCGAGGUGGAACAUGGGCCGGGCCAAGGAGGCAGUAGAUGUGGAGGGGGCCUCAACCCUCAGAAGCUUUGAUGUCCGCUUGAUGUCCCACCUCAGCAACUUAAGCCAGCGCGUUCUUGGUUCCACUCUGGUGCCAGAGUUCACUCCACCCGGGAAACCUACUAGUAAGAGAGAUCUCAGAGCAACACUGAUUGACCAGAGUAUUACAUCCCCUCCUCCUCUUUUUCUUAGGCACCCCCCCUAUUCAGAGGACAUGCAUUUCUGUUGCGCGAAGAUUGUGCUAUUCAUGUAAGAGAUGGAUGUGUGUAUGUAUGUCCUUUCUUCAUCUUUGUGUUUUUACUGGUUACAGGCGAGCGCAUAGCAGUGGAGUAUUUAUUGGCCCAGACCAACAGAGGUGACCUGCUGGCUCCAAAUCAGGUCCCUGAGGUCCCCUCGCAGGUACUUGAGGAGGAGGAUGAGCCGGAUGACACCAUCAGCAUGACUGACAUUCUGUGCCAGUCAGCUGCGAUAGGGGCUGGUGAUCCUCCAGGUGCUGUGGUGGGUGACGCUGAACCCGGACCCCUCGUCACACAGGUCAAUAACACUUUCUAUAACACCUUACUCAAAAACACAAAAUUUGACCGAAGUAAAUGUGGUUACAGGUCUUCAAAAUCCCCUUGCAGGUGCAGGUGCUUGAGGCGGAGGAGGAGCCAGAUGACACCAUCAGCAUGACUGAUCACACAGGUGAUCCUCCAGGUGCUGUGGAGGAUGACGAUGAACCCGGACCCCUCGUCACAGAGGUCAAUAACACUUUCUGUAACGCCUUACUCAAAAACACAAUAUUUAACUACGUAAAUGUGGUUACAUUUUAAUAAGAUAAAUGAAUGUAAAAUCAG